GAGACCACCAAGCUGUUUGAAGCUCUGGCACGUGACAAGUGAGGAAAGGCUGGAAGAGCUCAGUGUGACCAGCCUGGGACAGACAGGGUGAAGAGUGGCACAAAAGCCUCUGAUGACUUGAUGGAGAGCACUGGGAUACAUCAUUCCUUAGACACACCACCAGCACAUGAUUUUGGCUUCAGAAAAUGCAAUGCAUUCAUCUCCCAAAAGGAACACACAUCAUCUGAGCAAAUAAGCUGAGCAUGGGAAAUCUUUUACUGGUAAACUUCAUUUUCAAUACUGGAUG